AGCAUAGCCAUGCUAUACAAGCAACCUGCCUGUUAGCCCAUUAGUUAGGAAAAAACACAGCAUACAUAGGGUUCAACACUCUCCGAGGUUCCAGACAUCUCCUGGGGGUCUUAGAAUGCAUCACUCAUGGUGAAUAUUUACAAGCAUAUACUAAAGUAUGUAUUGAAAUGCAGAAGUACAAGAAGAGCCAAGGACAUCUUAGAGAAGAUAAGAUGUGGGCCGCCAGCAUGGCUGCACACAGAGCAGUACAGGUCCACGUCCAGGGAACGGAACCCAGGCCCUUGAAGCAGACCAUGCUGAACUUAACCAGUAGGCCAGCAGGGUUGGCCCAUUAUUCUUUUUUCAAGUUACAACUGAAUGGACAUUCAUUGACCAAUGGAGGAUACCCACAUAUCACAUCAGGACACCUGAGAGACCCACACAGCUAUACAUCUGAAGGUGGAUGGACUAGCUCCCUGGGAAGUGGUGGAGAUAGCAACAGAGAGGUCUUCGUGCCAAAGAGAGGAACAUACCCACCGGGGAACACAACAAAGAUUCAACUGAAGUGAAUGUUGAGAAUCCCACCUAGCCACUUUUUGCUCAUCCUGCUUCUGAAUCAACAGCCAAAGAAAGGGAUUAUGUACUGGCUGAGGGGGGGUGAAGAAGACUGGCCCUGAGCUCACAUCUGUUGCCAAUCUGCCUCUUUUUGCUUAAGGAAGAUUGUCGGUGACCUAACAUCUGUGCCAAUCUUCCUCUAUUUUGUAUGUGGGAUGCUGCCAUGGCAUGGCCUGGUGACUAGUGUGCAGGUCCAUGCCCGGGAUUCAGAUCCACAAACCCUGGGCCACCAAAGCGGAGUGCAGGAACUUAACCACUAUGCCACUGGGCUGGCCCCAAUAAUAUGUUAAUCUUAUUGUUUGAAAUAUUGUGUGAUAAUCUCUAUCUAACACUGUCUACUUAAAUAAUCACAAAAUUGUUUUUCCUUUAUUCAUAGAUUUUCAAAUGCUAAUUUUCCAUUCCUUUGUAAUCACUGUAACCAGAACUUUAUGCAAUUUUUUCUUGACCUUGCUUCUACCCUUGCCACCUCACAAUCUAUUCAUUCCUUAUUCGGAAACCAGAGUGUCCUUUUUUCUCACCUUGCCUUGACUAGCUUCACCUCUUUCUUUCUCGAUAACUUACAUUAAAGGUAAACUGGGCUAUUAGAAUGUAAUGCAGAUUUUGAUUACAUUCUCCACAAUACUCCAAAGGCAAUAAGUGUAUAAAUUUAACUUAAUGCUUAUAUAUGUUAUAACAUAAAUACAAAUGUAUAUUCACAAAUCUGAAACGCAUAAGCAGAAGUAAUUUUUUCAAAGGAAAUGCCCCAGCCAUUUUCAAAACUGAAAGAAACAUUGUAAAAUAUUAUGUGGAUCAACUUAAUAUAUCAUGGAACAGAAAAUUAUUAUAAAUCACAAGGACUUCAAGAAUCUAAAGUUAAAUUUUUUGCAAAAUGUUUAGCAAUAUCUAUGUGAUAUGUAUCUUCAGUGUUGUGCUUCUAUUUUACAUUUAUGAGGGACUUUUGAAUAUUAGUUUCUGAGUGUAUGAAACAGUGCUUUAGGAGGUAUUCUUUUUCAAAUUCACAUUAUUGUUAGGCUGAAAUAUGUCUUACUUCAUUGGCAUGUACUCGUUUUGGGGCAAAGAAAAUUCAUAUUUCCAUUGACUAUGUGUGCUGCUCUAAAAUUUGAUAUUUUUUUCAUUUUUCAUUAUGAUUUAUCAAAUUUGGGAAAGAAGAGUCUGGUUCUUUAGUGAUUUAUAUUAGCAUGCUCCUUUUGGAGGAUAUGAAAGAUGCAUGUAGAAUGAUUGUAUCAACUCAGCAAACAAAAUUACCUUGUAGACCAUGACAUUGUGUACAGGAAAACAUCUAAUAUUUACCAUGUGGACUAAAGUGAAACUAUAAUUAACAUAUCUCUGAUAACCAGAUAUUAAAGGACGACAAAGGCAAAUAAAAUAAAUAAUAUGGUUACAAAGGACAAUUGAUAGUAUCACUUCAUUACAAAUUAUGAGGAUGUGCUUUUUUUUAAUGGACAUGGGAAAAGUUGUUACAUUAGGAUAUUGAUCAAAUAAACAUGUGGUUGAUUUCAUUAAACAGCAAAGUAGAGGAACUACACUCUGAUGUAAUGUGUCUGACUGCAAUGGGACGGUAUGGAUUUUCAGAAAGGCUUCUUGAUUAGUUUGAUUAAUUUACACACAGCAUAUUUUAGUUCCUCCUGGAUUUGUGUAAUAUCUGCACAAAGUGCUUUUUAUAAUAAACUUCUAAAAAUAAAUGAA
rnacentral:lncRNA from 1 species